rnacentral:rRNA from 1 species
CCCUUAGAUGUUCUGGGCUGCACGCGCGCUACACUGAUGCACUCAACGAGUUUACGACCUUGCCCGAUAGGGUUGGGUAAUCUUUUUAAAAUGCAUCGUGAUGGGGAUAGAUUAUUGCAAUUAUUAAUCUUCAACGAGGAAUUCCUAGUAAGCGCGAGUCAUCAGCUCGUGCUGAUUACGUCCCUGCCCUUUGUACACACCGCCCGUCGCUACUACUGAUUGGAUGUUUAAGCGAGGUUCUCGAACUGCUAGCGACUUAGCUUCGGUGAGGUCGCAGUGUGGGAAGUGAACCUAGCUUUGGUGUCUAGAGGAAGUAAAAGUCGUAACA